CAAGAAAAUUGGCUUCCAGGUGGAAAAAUCAAAAUUAGAAACUGAACUGUUAGAACCCAGAACUAAGAAUUUAUCAAGAAUGUAUAACUUGCUGCUGAAAUGGAACACUCAGGAUGAAACGGUAAAAUCGGCUAUGAUUAAAUGGGCACAAGACGUCGGACAUAACAUUAUGUUCGCUGACUGGGAACAGUUGUGGACCACUGGUAUGAAAUUUACGGCAUGUAAUGCCUUAAGAGAGAAUAUUAUGAAAAUGAUAUACAGGUGGUACAUAACCCCGGUCAAGCUUGCAAAAAUCUAUCAUUUGCCCGAUAACAAAUGUUGGAAAUGUAAAGAAACUGAAGGUACAUUCUUUCACCUUUGGUGGACGUGCCCAAAGAUUAAGGCUUUCUGGGAAAUGAUAUAUAAUGAAUUAAAAAAGGUAUUCAAAUAUACCUUCCCUAAGAAACCAGAGGCCUUUCUCCUGGGCAUGGUCGGCCAAAUGGUGAUUAAAAAGGAUAGAAUUUUCUUUAUGUAUGCAACAACAGCAGCAAGAAUACUCAUUGCAAAGUAUUGGAAGACACAAGAACUUCCCACGCUGGAGGAAUGGCAGAUGAAACUGAUGGACUAUAUGGAACUGGCGGAAAUGACUGGCAGAAUCCGUGACCAGGGAGAAGAGUCGGUGGAGGAAGAUUGGAAGAAAUUCAAAGAUUAUCUACAGAAACACUGCAAAAUUAAAGAAUGUUAGAGUGAUGUUGGAUUAAAAAUAAGUGGUUUCCGGCUGUACAGGAUUCAAAGUUUAUAGAUAGAUUAAGAUUAAAGAUUAGGAUUAAAGAAAUUGAAGGAAAUGGAAAUUUGAUAUUUAAGAGGUAAAAUUUUAAUGCUAUAUUAUAUUAAGAUUAAAGAUUGGGAUUAAAAAAGUGGAAAAGAAAUUGCUGGACAAACAAUUUGGACUGGAAUACAAAAGAGGGAGGUAUGAGGAGGUCCAGAAAAUAAGUAAAUUUAAAAACGGAAAUGAAAAGGUGAUAUUGUUUUUAAUUGUUCUGUCUUUUUUUAUUUUUGUUUUUUGUUUUUUGUUUUCUGUGUUUUUUAUUCUUCUUUGGAUUAUGUAUUGUGUAUUUGUGUACUUCUUUUCUAUGUUUUUUUGUUUAAUCUUUUACUGAAAUCUUAAUAAAAAUCAUUU